GUGCCAGCCGCCGCGGUAAUACGGAAGGUCCAGGCGUUAUCCGGAUUUAUUGGGUUUAAAGGGAGCGUAGGCCGUCUGUUAAGCGUGUUGUGAAAUGUAGAUGCUCAACAUCUGAAUUGCAGCGCGAACUGGCAGACUUGAGUGUGCGCAACGUAGGCGGAAUUCGUGGUGUAGCGGUGAAAUGCUUAGAUAUCACGAAGAACUCCAAUUGCGAAGGCAGCUUACGGGAGCACAACUGACGCUGAAGCUCGAAAGUGCGGGUAUCGAACAGGAUUAGAUACCCUGGUAGUCCGCACGGUAAACGAUGGAUGCCCGCUGUUGACCCACCUGGGCCAGCGGCCAAGCGAAAGCAUUAAGCAUCCCACCUGGGGAGUACGCCGGCAACGGUGAAACUCAAAUGAAUUGGCGG
rnacentral:rRNA from 1 species